rnacentral:lncRNA from 1 species
GGGCGAGCGGCCGGCGGUGGGCGACGAGGCGGCGCUGCUGCGGCCGCUCAGGCUCGGCCCGUCGGGCGAGCAGCCGGCGCCCCCUUCCUCGUACAGGCCCAGGGGGUCGCUGGGGUCGGCGCCAGCGCCCACGCCGCCGACCGGCGAGGACGACGCGCCCAGGCCGCCGAACAGGACAGUUCUACGCAUUUACUUGGCAAACAAAGAAGCAGGAGGCACUGUGUGGGGCUGAUUCCUCAAGAGGAAGGUAAGCUCCCGUUUUUAUUCACCAGGGCACCCAGCACAAUAUAGAUGUGACACAUGGAAUCCCCAAAACUUCAGUUCCAAGGUGUCUUGUUCCCCAAAACUCCGUCCAGUGGCCGGCCAAGGAACGAGUGUGUUUUGUGUUUUCCCUUUCUCUCCAUAUUUAAGGCAGUUACCAAAUUCACAUUUGUUGUUGUUGUUGUUGUUGUUGUUUUGACAAGCCCCUCUCUGGGAUUCAAGGUUAUCUGAACACGAUUCCCAUUAUCACUUCAGGAUUCCUCUGUCCUCAUAUUAUCUAGCCCUCCAUGGAAUUGUUUUUCAGUUGCAUACAACUCUGGCCCAACUCCCUGUUCAUCUUUCACUGUUAUCAGUUAUAAUAUUCAAUGCUCCUGAGACAAUUCAUUUCUUUACAGUUAGCCAAAAUAAGAGAGAGAGAGAGACAGAGAGAGGCAGAAAAAGGAAAGAAGGUGAGCAGGAAGGAAGGGAGGAGGGAAAGAAACGGGGCUGUGAAUAUAGUCAACUGGAAAAAUUAAAAUGUUGGUUCUUAAAGUUUGUCUUGCCUUGUUAUUUUUAUUUUUAUAGAUUUUAUUCUACUUUCUGUUUCCGGCCUGGACCCAGAGUAAAGGAGUUACUCAAGUCCUUUACAAGCAUGAACGCAGGGCCAUCUAAAUCUAAGAUUAUUCCUCAAAUUUGAAUUUAGCAGAAAACCACGAAUGAGGAGUGGGCAGCUGAGGGGACCGCAGACUCCAUUAUUUCAAAUGGAAAAAAAGAGAUGAGAAAAAGUUCUGUCUAGAUGAGCAGUCCUCCUGAUCUUUUGACAGUGAUUCUGCAUUGUGUGUCUAAUUUUUAAAAGUUAAAUGGGGCAUUCGAAUUUUGUAUUUAAAAAUGUUGUGGGUUCCCAUUGUGGCACAGCGAUAAUGAACCUGACUAGUUUCCGCAAGGAUGUGGGUUCAAUCCCUGGCCCCGCUCAGUGGGUUAAGGACCAGUGUAUCUGUGAGCUGUGGUUUAGGUCGCAGACGCGGCUUAGAUCCAGUGUUGCUAUGACUGUGACAUAGGCUGGCGGCUGUAGUUCCAAUUGGACCCCUAGCCUGGAACCCCUACCCUAGCUCCAACUGGACUUCCAAAUGCCAUGGCUACAACCCUAAAAAGACAAAAAAAAAAAAA